rnacentral:rRNA from 1 species
GACGAACGCUGGCGGCGUGCUUAACACAUGCAAGUCGAACGGAAAGGCCCUGCUUGCAGGGUACUCGAGUGGGGAACGGGUGAGUAACACGUGGGUGAUCUGCCCUGCACUUCGGGAUAAGCCUGGGAAACUGGGUCUAAUACCGGAUAGGAGCCAUUUUUAGUGUGAUGGUUGGAAAGUUUUUUCGGUGUAGGAUGAGCUCGCGGCCUAUCAGCUUGUUGGUGGGGUAAUGGCCUACCAAGGCGGCGACGGGUAGCCGGCCUGAGAGGGUGGACGGCCACAUUGGGACUGAGAUACGGCCCAGACUCCUACGGGAGGCAGCAGUGGGGAAUAUUGCACAAUGGGCGCAAGCCUGAUGCAGCGACGCCGCGUGGGGGAUGACGGCCUUCGGGUUGUAAACUCCUUUCGCUAGGGACGAAGCUUUUUGUGACGGUACCUAGAUAAGAAGCACCGGCUAACUACGUG